UACGGAGGGUGCGAGCGUUGUCCGGAAUCACUGGGCGUAAAGGGCGCGUAGGCGGCGCGGGUAGUCGUCGGUGAAAGCUCAGGGCUCAACCCCGAGUCGGCCGUCGAUACUUCCGGGCUGGAGCACUGUAGAGGCAGGUGGAAUUCCGGGUGUAGCGGUGGAAUGCGUAGAGAUCCGGAAGAACACCGGUGGCGAAGGCGGCCUGCUGGGCAGUAGCUGACGCUGAGGCGCGACAGCGUGGGGAGCAAACAGG
rnacentral:rRNA from 1 species